CAGCCAUACCCAGACACGGGCGCUGGGGCAACUGUUCCCCUGCCGCCAGGCGUUGUCAUCAGCAUCAGCGCUGGCACCAGCAUCAAGCAUCAAGCAUCAGCAUCACAAUCAGCAUCAAAGUCAUUUCCGGCAGCUCUGCUCUCUCGGGGCUCUUGGUGGGGAUGUGCGAUUUUUCUGAGUCUCUCCCACACACGCAGGAGGAUCGGUCUCAGCAUGCACCUCGGGUAUCUUGUCCUUGCUGCCUUCCUGAGGCAACCACUGGGCGCCAUGGGACAGACCACUGUCACCCAGCAAGAAGCACAAGUCACAGUGAAGCAGGGAGACAUCUUUGAAACCACCUGCACCUACAGAACAUCCAGGUUUGAUGCCUUGCUCUGGUACAAACAGAGAAAAGGACAAGCCCCACAGCGUAUCUCCUAUCAGGCAACUGCUGGCCGCAAGCGCAGCGGCCGUCUCACCACCGUGCUGAACACCACCGAGAAAUACAGCCUCCUGCAGCUGGAGGAAGUCGAGCUCUCUGACAGUGCCUUGUACCUCUGUGCUGUGCAAGACACCGUGACAAUGCCUUUCUUCCUUAGCAUACAAGACAAGGUCCACCAUGAAAAAGGUGAGAUGGAAGCAGAGGUCAGCAUGCAGAAAACUUUAAUGACUCUGAGGUGGAAAGAAGUUCACUUGUAG